CUCAAUUGGUCUACUGUCAACAGUAGAGUUGUAAGUAGUGAAUACAGUGACUAAAGCUACAUGGUCCGUUGGGAGAGAAUGGUUACGAAACUUCAGAAAUUGUGUUCCGUCAAGAGCCCUUGUUCCUGAAAAUAUUGUAGGUUGAGCACUCAAAUAAUGAAUGAUAAGUUUAUCAUAGUCAUGAAUCAUGAUCCUUACUCGACAUUAAUAUACACAAGGACAAAUACAUACUAAAAUUCCUGCAAAUGAUUGGGUCAUAGUUAUAUGCAGAAUCAAACUCCUUUUAAUAAUUGCAGUUUUGAAAAUAAUAAUAUAAAAAGUACCUGGACAAAAUUUAAGAAAACAUUCAAAAUGGCCAUCGACCUCUCCACUUUGUUAUAUGACAUGUUCCCAACAGUAACCAACUCAAUUGGUCUACUGUCAACAGUAGAGUUGUAAGUGGUGAAUACAGUGACUAAAGCUACAUGGUCCGUUGGGAGAGAAUGGUUACGAAACUUCAGAAAUUGUGUUCUAUCAAGAGCCCUUGUUCCUGAAAAUAUUGUAGGUUGAGCACUCAAAUAAUGAAUGAUAAGUUUAUCAUAGUCAUGAAUCAUGAUCCUUACUCGACAUUAAUAUAUACAAGGACAAAUAGAUAGGAAAAAUUGGUUUAAAAGAUCUUGUCC
rnacentral:lncRNA from 1 species